rnacentral:misc_RNA from 1 species
AAUAACUGAUAGGAACAGCCAGACACUGUACAUUAUUUUCCAAAAAUAUCAAAUUGUACAUAGCAGUUGUGUUUUUCCAACAGUAAAAAAAUAGUAUAUACCCAGGAUUAGUAAAGGCAAGCAGUUCUGCAAACAUAUGGCAAUGAGUUAAAUGGAAAGGACAAUAUAAAACCCACCCAGGGAUAGAGGAUUAUUCUUGUCACCUUGUUCCUAAUAUAACAUAACUACCUUGCAUGAUAAAAAUCUAUGUAAUAUUGUAAUUUCAGAAACAACCUAGAUGCAAAUAAAAAUUUCUUAUUCACCAUGUGUCUUCAAAUCACACAAAUCAACACCAGAAACAGUUCUUUGAAUGAAGAAUCAUUAACUGUACAAUCCCCCACCUCUCCCGUACAUGCUAAGCAAUAUUCUGAAGAAACAUUAUAGAUAUUAAGGCUUAAUAUCUACAUGUUCAAAAGUGCAAAUAUUACUGUUUAAGUUCAACUUCACAGAGAUAAACCAUGCAUGCUUUGUGCAUUCACUGUGUGUAUAUAUACCAAGGCCUAAUUUCUACAUGCAUGCUAAGCCCUAUUUAGUGUGUAUAAACCAUGAGUGCUACUCAUAUCUGGAGUAUGCGUGUAUAUAUACACACUAACCCCUAAUUUCCACAUAUUCAAAAGUGCAAUAUAACUAUUAUUCAAUUUCACAAAGACAAACCAUCUGCACUAUUUGUGUGCCAAUGCACGCACAUGGAACAAUUGCAACAGCUUUAUCAUUACCAUUAUCAUUAUUGACAACUUGAAAAAAUGACCAACAGAACACAAAUAAACAAAGCACAGGCUAAAGAGAUUAACAGUUCAGGGCAUCAAGAAAAAAAUCAAGCUUUCAACUUUCAAUCUAAAGGAUAAAAAAAUAUUUUACAACCAAGACACCAUCUAAAGGCUCAUCAUUGCUUGAGAAGAAAUUUACAGACAAAUAACUUACAUGUUACAAUUAUUUUGCA